GGAAUCUGUUGUGUUUCUGUGUGUGUUCGUUGGCUUGGUGAAUCGGAAGAUCACAUUCUCUGCAAAGAAUUGCUCUGUCUUCUUUACAGAAAAGUAAAGCGCGUCUUUCCUGUUCGAUGAAAUUCCCAAGUGAAUAAAAGUUCAUGUCCUGUAAUUCAAUGAAAAGGCCAAUGACAAUGGAUUGCUUCACAUACUAGAAAAUUUCAUGGUGAACCACAAGCAAUCUUUAGGAUGAUUUGCUAGGCGAUUCCUCUCCUCCAGCUUUGACCUGCCUUAUUGCGUAUCUUUGGUUAACAAGAUUUAAGUACUCAAACCCCUUUUUUUUCUUUUGAACAAAAAGGGUGGGAAAGUGACCAUAGUAAUUAUCUUUUUUACUACAGUUGUAAAUAUCUUGUUUAAGGUAAUUAAUAGAAUUACAGUUUAGAUUGAA